rnacentral:rRNA from 1 species
AGAUUGAACGCUAGCGGGAUGCUUUACACAUGCAAGUCGAACGGCAGCGCGGACUUCGGUCUGGCGGCGAGUGGCGAACGGGUGAGUAAUAUAUCGGAACGUGCCCAGUAGCGGGGGAUAACUACGCGAAAGCGUGGCUAAUACCGCAUACGCCCUACGGGGGAAAGGGGGGAUUCUUUCGAGAACCUCUCACUAUUGGAGCGGCCGAUAUCAGAUUAGCUAGUUGGUGAGGUAAAGGCUCACCAAGGCGACGAUCUGUAGCUGGUUUGAGAGGACGACCAGCCACACUGGGACUGAGACACGGCCCAGACUCCUACGGGAGCAGCAGUGGGAAUUUGGACAAGUGGGGAAACCUGAUCCAGCCAUCCCGCGUGUGCGAUGAAGGCCUUCGGGUGUAAGCGACUUU